GGUUAAGCGACUAAGCGUACACGGUGGAUGCCCUGGCAGUCAGAGGCGAUGAAGGACGUGCUAAUCUGCGAUAAGCGUCGGUGAGGUGAUAUGAACCGUUAUAACCGGCGAUUUCCGAAUGGGGAAACCCAGUGUGUUUCGACACACUAUCAUUAACUGAAUCCAUAGGUUAAUGAGGCGAACCGGGGGAACUGAAACAUCUAAGUACCCCGAGGAAAAGAAAUCAACCGAGAUUCCCCCAGUAGCGGCGAGCGAACGGGGAGGAGCCCAGAGCCUGAAUCAGUGUGUGUGUUAGUGGAAGCGUCUGGAAAGGCGCGCGAUACAGGGUGACAGCCCCGUACACAAAAAUGCACAUAUUGUGAGCUCGAUGAGUAGGGCGGGACACGUGGUAUCCUGUCUGAAUAUGGGGGGACCAUCCUCCAAGGCUAAAUACUCCUGACUGACCGAUAGUGAACCAGUACCGUGAGGGAAAGGCGAAAAGAACCCCGGCGAGGGGAGUGAAAAAGAACCUGAAACCGUGUACGUACAAGCAGUGGGAGCCUCUUAAUGGGGUGACUGCGUACCUUUUGUAUAAUGGGUCAGCGACUUAUAUUCUGUAGCAAGGUUAACCGAAUAGGGGAGCCGAAGGGAAACCGAGUCUUAACUGGGCGUUAAGUUGCAGGGUAUAGACCCGAAACCCGGUGAUCUAGCCAUGGGCAGGUUGAAGGUUGGGUAACACUAACUGGAGGACCGAACCGACUAAUGUUGAAAAAUUAGCGGAUGACUUGUGGCUGGGGGUGAAAGGCCAAUCAAACCGGGAGAUAGCUGGUUCUCCCCGAAAGCUAUUUAGGUAGCGCCUCGUGAAUUCAUCUCCGGGGGUAGAGCACUGUUUCGGCAAGGGGGUCAUCCCGACUUACCAACCCGAUGCAAACUGCGAAUACCGGAGAAUGUUAUCACGGGAGACACACGGCGGGUGCUAACGUCCGUCGUGAAGAGGGAAACAACCCAGACCGCCAGCUAAGGUCCCAAAGUCAUGGUUAAGUGGGAAACGAUGUGGGAAGGCCCAGACAGCCAGGAUGUUGGCUUAGAAGCAGCCAUCAUUUAAAGAAAGCGUAAUAGCUCACUGGUCGAGUCGGCCUGCGCGGAAGAUGUAACGGGGCUAAACCAUGCACCGAAGCUGCGGCAGCGACACUAUGUGUUGUUGGGUAGGGGAGCGUUCUGUAAGCCUGUGAAGGUGGCCUGUGAGGGUUGCUGGAGGUAUCAGAAGUGCGAAUGCUGACAUAAGUAACGAUAAAGCGGGUGAAAAGCCCGCUCGCCGGAAGACCAAGGGUUCCUGUCCAACGUUAAUCGGGGCAGGGUGAGUCGACCCCUAAGGCGAGGCCGAAAGGCGUAGUCGAUGGGAAACAGGUUAAUAUUCCUGUACUUGGUGUUACUGCGAAGGGGGGACGGAGAAGGCUAUGUUGGCCGGGCGACGGUUGUCCCGGUUUAAGCGUGUAGGCUGGUUUUCCAGGCAAAUCCGGAAAAUCAAGGCUGAGGCGUGAUGACGAGGCACUACGGUGCUGAAGCGACAAAUGCCCUGCUUCCAGGAAAAGCCUCUAAGCAUCAGGUAACAUCAAAUCGUACCCCAAACCGACACAGGUGGUCAGGUAGAGAAUACCAAGGCGCUUGAGAGAACUCGGGUGAAGGAACUAGGCAAAAUGGUGCCGUAACUUCGGGAGAAGGCACGCUGAUAUGUAGGUGAAGCGACUUGCUCGUGGAGCUGAAAUCAGUCGAAGAUACCAGCUGGCUGCAACUGUUUAUUAAAAACACAGCACUGUGCAAACACGAAAGUGGACGUAUACGGUGUGACGCCUGCCCGGUGCCGGAAGGUUAAUUGAUGGGGUUAGCGGUAACGCGAAGCUCUUGAUCGAAGCCCCGGUAAACGGCGGCCGUAACUAUAACGGUCCUAAGGUAGCGAAAUUCCUUGUCGGGUAAGUUCCGACCUGCACGAAUGGCGUAAUGAUGGCCAGGCUGUCUCCACCCGAGACUCAGUGAAAUUGAACUCGCUGUGAAGAUGCAGUGUACCCGCGGCAAGACGGAAAGACCCCGUGAACCUUUACUAUAGCUUGACACUGAACAUUGAGCCUUGAUGUGUAGGAUAGGUGGGAGGCUUUGAAGUGUGGACGCCAGUCUGCAUGGAGCCGACCUUGAAAUACCACCCUUUAAUGUUUGAUGUUCUAACGUGGGCCCCUUACCGGGGUUGCGGACAGUGUCUGGUGGGUAGUUUGACUGGGGCGGUCUCCUCCUAAAGAGUAACGGAGGAGCACGAAGGUUGGCUAAUCCUGGUCGGACAUCAGGAGGUUAGUGCAAUGGCAUAAGCCAGCUUGACUGCGAGCGUGACGGCGCGAGCAGGUGCGAAAGCAGGUCAUAGUGAUCCGGUGGUUCUGAAUGGAAGGGCCAUCGCUCAACGGAUAAAAGGUACUCCGGGGAUAACAGGCUGAUACCGCCCAAGAGUUCAUAUCGACGGCGGUGUUUGGCACCUCGAUGUCGGCUCAUCACAUCCUGGGGCUGAAGUAGGUCCCAAGGGUAUGGCUGUUCGCCAUUUAAAGUGGUACGCGAGCUGGGUUUAGAACGUCGUGAGACAGUUCGGUCCCUAUCUGCCGUGGGCGCUGGAGAACUGAGGGGGGCUGCUCCUAGUACGAGAGGACCGGAGUGGACGCAUCACUGGUGUUCGGGUUGUCAUGCCAAUGGCACUGCCCGGUAGCUAAAUGCGGAAGAGAUAAGUGCUGAAAGCAUCUAAGCACGAAACUUGCCCCGAGAUGAGUUCUCCCUGACUCCUUGAGAGUCCUGAAGGAACGUUGAAGACGACGACGUUGAUAGGCCGGGUGUGUAAGCGCAGCGAUGCGUUGAGCUAACCGGUACUAAUGAACCG
rnacentral:rRNA from 1 species